CAGUAAGAGUUUGAUCCUGGCUCAGGAUCAACGCUGGCGGCGUGCCUAAUGCAUGCAAGUCGCACGGGGUGGCUUUCGGGCUGCUUACGUGGCGGACGGGUGAGGAACGCGUGGAUCACCUGCCCGGUGGUGGGGGCUAGCCUUCGGAAACGGAGGGUAAUUCCGCAUGAGCUUGCCGACCGCGUGGGGUUGGUAAGGAAAGCUCGCAAGGGCGCCAUCGGAGGGGUCUGCGUCCGAUUAGUUAGUUGGUGGGGUAACGGCUCACCAAGGCGGUGAUCGGUAGCUGGUUUGAGAGGAUGAUCAGCCACACGGGGACUGAGACACGGCCCAGACUCCUACGGGAGGCAGCAGUGGGGAAUAUUGGACAAUGGGGGCAACCCUGAUCCAGCGACGCCGCGUGUGUGAAGAAGGCCUGCGGGUUGUAAAGCACUUUUAGUGGGGAUGAAAAGCUCAGGGCUAAUACCUCUGGGUCUUGACCUAACCCACAGAAAAGCACCGGCUAACUCUGUGCCAGCAGCCGCGGUAAUAC
rnacentral:rRNA from 1 species